rnacentral:misc_RNA from 1 species
UCUCCGUUGGUGAACCAGCGGAGGGAUCAUUACUGAGUUUACAACUCCCAAACCCCUGUGAACAUACCAUUUGUUGCCUCGGCGGUGCCUGCUUCGGCAGCCCGCCAGAGGACCCAAACCCUUGAUUUUAUACAGUAUCUUCUGAGUAAAUGAUUAAAUAAAUCAAAACUUUCAACAACGGAUCUCUUGGUUCUG